AGCAGCCACUCAUUAAAAGAGUGCGUAAUAGCUCACUGGUCGAGUGACUCUGCGCCGAAAAUUUAACGGGGCUAAACUAUACACCGAAGCUUGGGAUACAUCUAAUGUAUGGUAGGAGAGCGUUCUGUAUGGGGAGAAGUCGUAGCGAAAGCGGCGGUGGACUAUACAGAAGUGAGAAUGCCGGAAUAAGUAGCGAGAAUUAAGUGAGAAUCUUAAUGGCCGAAAGUCUAAGGUUUUUGGAGGAAGGUUCGUCCGCUCCAAGUAAGUCGGGAGCUAAGGUCAGGCCGAAAGGCGUAGCCGAUGCACAUACGGUUGAUAUUCCGUAACCAUCUGUAAUUUAAGCAAAGGGACACUUCAAAAGGGUGUGACCCGGGCGUUGGUUGACCCGGGCGUAAGGGACCGAAAUUAGAGUAGGGAAGCACACUUAGCUGAAGGCGAGAAAAGCUUUGCGUAUAGAAACAGAUGCCCGUACCGCAAACCGACACAGGUGGACAGGAAGAGAAUUCUAAGGCCAGCGGGAGAAGGGUAGUUAAGGAACUCGGCAAAUUGACUCCGUAACUUCGGAAUAAGGAGUGCUCGAAAGAGCCGCAGAGAAUAGGCCCAGGCGACUGUUUAGCAAAAACACAGGUCUCUGCCAAAUCGAAAGAUGAAGUAUAGGGGCUGACACCUGCCCGGUGCCGGAAGGUUAAGAGGAGGAGUGAGAGCUCCGAAUUGAAGCCCCGGUAAACGGCGGCCGUAACUAUAACGGUCCUAAGGUAGCGAAAUUCCUUGUCGGGUAAGUUCCGACCCGCACGAAUGGUGUAACGAUCUGGGCACUGUCUCAACUACCCACCCGGCGAAAUUGUAGUACCGGUGAAGAUGCCGGUUACCUGCGGCAAGACGGAAAGACCCCAUGGAGCUUUACUGUAGCCUGAUAUUGGGUUUCGGAAAUCUAUGUACAGGAUAGGCGGGAGACUGGGAAACAUGAGCGUCAGCUUGUGUGGAGUCGAUGUUGGGAUACCGCCCUUAGGUUUCUGGAAUUCUAACCUGCGGCCGUGAAUCCGGUCGGGGGACAUUGUCAGGUGGGCAGUUUGACUGGGGCGGUCGCCUCCGAAAAGGUAACGGAGGCGCUCAAAGGUUAGCUCAGCACGGACGGAAACCGUGCCUCUGAGUGUAAACGCAAAAGCUAGCCUAACUGCGAGGGUGACGGCCCGAGCAGUAACGAAAGUUGGAGUUAGUGAUCCGGCGGUAUGUGAAUGGAAAUGCCGUCGCUCAACGGAUAAAAGCUACCCUGGGGAUAACAGGCUGAUCUCCCCCAAGAGUCCACAUCGACGGGGAGGUUUGGCACCUCGAUGUCGGCUCAUCACAUCCUGGGGCUGUAUUCGGUCCCAAGGGUUCGGCUGUUCGCCGAUUAAAGUGGUACGCGAGCUGGGUUCAGAACGUCGCGAGACAGUUCGGUCCCUAUCUGUCGUGGGCGCAGGAUAUUUGAGGAGCUCUGUCCUUAGUACGAGAGGACCGGGAUGGACGUACCUCUGGUGCACCAGUUGUCAUGCCAAUGGCACGGCUGGGCAGCUAUGUACGGAACGGAUAAACGCUGAAAGCAUCUAAGCGUGAAGCCGACUCCAAGAUUAGAUAUCCCAUCGUAUAACGAGUAAGACCCCUUGAAGACUACGAGGUUGAUAGGCUGCGUGUGUAAGUGCCGUGAGGCAUUCAGCUUGGCAGUACUAAUAGGUCGAGGGCUUGACCAC
rnacentral:rRNA from 1 species